CCAGCAGGUAGGCGAUCCGGCCGACCGUGACGCUGUGGGCGUUGCCGGUGGCCGAGUACGCGUCGAUGGUGUCGGGGUUGCCGGCC
rnacentral:tRNA from 1 species